rnacentral:rRNA from 1 species
AUGCAAGUCGAACGAAUCCCUGAGGGCUUGCUUUCAGGGGGAAGUGGCGAAAGGGGCAGUAAGGCAUGGGUAACCUACCCCGGGGACCGGCAUAGCCUCUCUAACGAGAGGGUAAUUCCGGGUAUAAUGCGGGUCUCGCAUGGGUCCUGCAUGAGAUGAAUUUCGCCCUGGGAGGGGCUCAUGUGGUAUUAGCUUGUUGGCGGGGUAACGGCCCACCAAGGCUCAGAUGCCUAGCGGGUGUGAGAGCACGACCCGCGCCACUGGCACUGAGACACUGGCCAGACUCCUACGGGAGGCUGCAGUCGAGGAUCUUCGGCAAUGGGCGCAAGCCUGACCGAGCGACGCCGCGUGUGCGACGAAGGCCUUCGGGUUGUAAAGCACUGUCGAGGGGGAGGAAACCCGCAAGGGUUGACCUAUCCCUGGAGGAAGCACGGGCUAAGUUCGUGCAGCAGCCGCGGUAAGACGAACCGUGCGAACGUUGUUCGGAAUCACUGGGCUUAAAGGGCGCGUAGGCGGUCUUCCCCGUCCGGGGUGAAAUCUUUCGGCCCAACCGGAAAAGGGCCCCGGAAACAGG